rnacentral:rRNA from 1 species
GACGAACGCUGGCGGCGUGCUUAACACAUGCAAGUCGAACGGAAAGGCCCUGCUUGUGUGUGGUGCUCGAGUGGCGAACGGGUGAGUAACACGUGAGUAACCUGCCCUUGACUUUGGGAUAACUUCAGGAAACUGGGGCUAAUACCGGAUAGGAGCUCCUGCUGCAUGGUGGGGGUUGGAAAGUUUCGGCGGUUGGGGAUGGACUCGCGGCUUAUCAGCUUGUUGGUGGGGUAGUGGCUUACCAAGGCUUUGACGGGUAGCCGGCCUGAGAGGGUGACCGGCCACAUUGGGACUGAGAUACGGACCAGACUCCUACGGGAGGCAGCAGUGGGGAAUAUUGCACAAUGGGCGGAAGCCUGAUGCAGCAACGCCGCGUGCGGGAUGACGGCCUUCGGGUUGUAAACCGCUUUCGCCUGUGACGAAGCGUGAGUGACGGUAAUGGGUAAAGAAGCACCGGCUAACUACGUG